rnacentral:rRNA from 1 species
CCUGGUUGAUCCUGCCAGUAGUCAUAUGCUUGUCUCAAAGAUUAAGCCAUGCAUGUCUAAGUAUAAGCAAUUAUACAGCGAAACUGCGAAUGGCUCAUUAAAUCAGUUAUCGUUUAUUUGAUAGUACCUUACUACAUGGAUAACCGUGGUAAUUCUAGAGCUAAUACAUGCUAAAAAUCCCGACUUCGGAAGGGAUGUAUUUAUUAGAUUAAAAACCAAUGCCCUUCGGGGCUCUCUGGUGAUUCAUAAUAACUUCUCGAAUCGCACGGCCUUGCGCCGGCGAUGGUUCAUUCAAAUUUCUGCCCUAUCAACUUUCGACGGCUGGGUCUUGGCCAGCCGUGGUGACAACGGGUAACGGAGGGUUAGGGCUCGACCCCGGAGAAGGAGCCUGAGAAACGGCUACUACAUCCAAGGAAGGCAGCAGGCGCGCAAAUUACCCAAUCCCGACACGGGGAGGUAGUGACAAUAAAUACUGAUACAGGGCUCUUUUGGGUCUUGUAAUUGGAAUGAGUACAAUUUAAAUCCCUUAACGAGGAACAAUUGGAGGGCAAGUCUGGUGCCAGCAGCCGCGGUAAUUCCAGCUCCAAGAGCGUAUAUUAAAGUUGUUGCGGUUAAAAAGCUCGUAGUUGAACCGAGGGGGUAGCGCACGGUUAAAAAGCUUUCGGGUCUUCGCUUCGCGUGGGGGCUCGGAGGUCGUGUGUCUGCCUUCGAAUUUGUGAUGAUUAUACCAGCUUGGGGGGGGUGCUCUUUGCUCAAAAGGCGGGGGGUGUCUUCUUCUUGCUGGAUCGCAGAGUUUUACUUUGAAUAAAUUAGGGUGUUCAAAGCAGACGAAUACGUCUUGAAUAGAUUAGCAUGGGAUAAUGAAAUAAGACCUUUUUGGCUUACAUUUACUGGUUUCUGAGGCCGAGGUAAUGAUUAAUAGGGACAGUUGGGGUCGCUCGUACUCGGUGGUGAGAGGUGAAAUUCUAAGACCCGUCGAAGACGAACAAGUGCGAAGGCAUUCGACAAGGAUGUUUUCUUUAAUCAAGAACGAAAGUUAUGGGAUCGAAGAUGAUCAGAUACCGUCGUAGUCAUAACCGUAAACUAUGUUGACUUGGGAUCCAGGGAUGUUACAUGGAUGACUCUCUGGGCACCAUGUGCGAAAGCACAAGUAUUCGAACUCCGGGGGGAGUAUGGUCGCAAGGCUGAAACUUAAAGGAAUUGACGGAAGGGCACCACCAGGUGUGGAAUCU